UCACAGCUGUAUUGAGUCUCUGUUGAAGUAGUGCAUUGUGGGAGAAUGGGCACCACAUCUAGUUUCACACUCAUCUGGACCACACCACUCUUCUGCCUUUGCUGCUUAGACCAUUUCAUCCACUUGUCGAUGGAUUACGGUCAUCACUAACCCUCUUUGGCAUAGUUUUACAGUUUUAAGUCAUUUAGGUUUGACACUUUUCAGAGAGGUACAACAUUUGGGGUCAUCUAGGUGGAAGUCCAGCCCCAUGCUCACAAUGCCUGACAGGUCGACCUCUGGCCUCGCACUGGCCUCACGACUUCUAGCCUAGCGACUCUCCCUGGAGGCCUCAGCCCUGCUCACCAUGCUGACCUCUGACCUCAGCUCAGCCCUCAGAACGUGCCUUCUGAUCCAUACUCUAUAACCCCAGCAGGUAUCACUGUCCAUCCCAGAAAAGUGGAGUGUAAACAGGUUCUUCUACAGCAGCAGAAUCGCACCCUGUUUCGCGGGAGACCUACACCUGCUGUAAGUGUCUGAAUACAGGCACCUGCUGCUCUCAAAACUGGAGACGGAGCUGGAAAGCGUCGCCGCAGCCAAUUAGUGCCAUGCAGACUGGUAAAGCACAGCCUAACCAAGUACAUGCAGGUUUAAAACAAAUAUACUCACAAGAUAGCUGCAGCAUGGACGAAGUACCGCAUCGCUCUCCCGGGGACAGAACCGCGUCCUGCCGCGGUCGGAUCCCCGGAUGUGAACGGGGAUUACACGGGUUUGUAAUCCGUUGACAAUAACUGCUUUCCUCCCAACACCUGGGGGCUUGUUCUGUUCUGGGAUGCGAGCCCCCCGGUUUUUCCGGGUACUUGGAUUCCGGUACGGGAGGGGCACCUUUUAAUCGGAGGCUGUUUUUUUCUGACCGCCGAAGCUACAGGUGAAAAUCACCGUUGAAAGUGCAUGCAUGGAAAUGGCUCCGUCUUUCUAAUUCACGCUUCUUGUCCACGUAUUCCGUUCAUAUUAAAUCCAGACGCUGCUCAGACUCAUGUUUUCCCAAAGCUGCUAACCGUGAAAGUUGCCCAGCACUCAUUAAUGCACUAAGCGCUUCCACCAAAAGACGGGACAAGGUCCUCUGUUUGUUUGGUGCUACUUUAUUUCAUCGUUUACUUUUCUGUUCCACAAUUUUUUUUCUCUCUAUGUUAUUUCUGUCCUAAAUCGGUGAGAUUAGAGAGGAACUGCCAGGUCUUUGCUGGAGGACACAAGCGAAUCCACGCUGGGUCUGCAAGGAGCAGCGAUGUGAAACUCGGACCUGAACAUCAAACCCCGGGGAGGUGGGACCGUUUAGGGCAGAGGUAGGAGAUGCGGGCGAUCCUGCGCUAGUGCCAAAGGUGCGAAGACAGUUCCCGCGGGAGGCAGGGCACCUGGGCAAGACGGAAACCAGGGCGGCGGGGUGAGAGCAGCUCCGCGGGCUUCAGGUGCUGCCGACCGGCUUCUGUCAUGACUAAUCCUUUCAGAUGGGUCGCGGAGUCCGUAGGUUGGGGGACAGUGACGCGUGAUGUAAAGAAUUACAGCAUGGACAGCUACGAGAGUGGGGUAAUCCGACGAUCCAGUUCAGGAGGGGAUGAGGGGAAGACGAUGACAGCGGGGACCGCCAGCGACAGCGCAGAAGAGUCACGGCCAUAUACACGCACCUGAUUCACGGACAACUCGGCUCGUCCAGCCGCUCGCCUCACAACGGUAGUCUGUACGGAGCCCGCACACAAUACCAGCCCCAGCACAGCCAGAUGACAUCACCCUCAAUUUUUUUUAGGAAAAAAUGCAAUCCGAUCUUUUUUGAACUUUGCAUUUAUACUAAAAGCCAAGUCAGGACGUCGCAGAGUGCAGUCGGUCUCGUUGUUUCUAGUCGAGGUGAGCUUGGGUCAGCGGUCCCAGUUUGCAUAAAGUGAACGAAUGCACAGUAAAGGCGGAGAAUGCGGGAUCGCAUUGACAAAUCGACCUCAAAACCUGCCUAGUCUCUGUCUCUCUCUGGGCUCCGUUCUCUUCGACAUGUAAAUUAAAAACGAAUGCGUUUCCCCUG